CGUCCGUCUUUCUCUCCCUCACUUCCUCUUCUCAAUCACAAAUCCCCAAUCUCAAUUUUAGGAACCCUAGUUCUCUCCACUUUUCUUCUCGGCGAAUCUUACCGCGUCGGCCAGCGACGAGCCGUACCACGCCACCAUAUCCCUGCUCACGCCCCUAUCGCCGACAGGCAGCAGCCAGCUCCACGGCUUUCUCGGAGUCCUCGUUGUGGAACUCCAUUCAUCGGCGCCGUUUGCACCUCUGUCGUCGGUAGGAUGCGUGGGUAGCGGUCCCGGCGCUGUCAGCGUGCCACCCUAGCCUCCUCUCACACUCUGCCGACACUCAUGCCCGGUGCUCGCAACACCGUCGCCAGAGCCCAGCCGGUCUCUCGCUUCUUCGCGAGGCUUCUGCCGUCUGUGGUUCGUGCGAGGAGACUCAAGGCGUCGCCAUUUCUGCUUCGUCACAUCUCUGACCUCACGGCUCUUCAUCGGAGUCGGUCGUUGCUCGCAGCUCUGCCUCUCGGUUCCGAAGCUAAGUUUCUAACUCUCUUUUCUUAUUUUGUGGAGUUAGGUGGCGUUGUGUUCAAGCUGAAAGGUUUUAUGAUUGUGUGAUCGGUGUUGGCUUAUCGUGUUAAGUUUCUGUUCGGGGAAAUCCCUCGUUUUGUUGGUGAUUUGGUUUUCCUUCCGAUCUAUGCUUAGGGCUUGUUCUAGUUUAACUUGGCACCCUAUGAUUGUGUCGAAAAGUUAUAAAUUCACGGCUGUUGCUACCUAUGUGAAUUCGUUCUAUUGCUAUAGAUGUGUUGCCUUAAUGUGAACCUCGGUUCUCAUGCUAUCUCGUGUUGAAUGCUACAUGAUGAGUUGAUGCAAUUAUCAUUGUUUGAGUUUGAGAGAGAACGACCUUACCUCUCUCUCUCGGCUCAAGCUUCAGUUAUCUUGCUGCCUCGGUUCCUCUCACUGAAUUGUAAUUGCUUGCGAUAAUGAGGGAGACAGAGGUUGAGGCCUAUUUACACUUGUGACCUAACUGAAAGCCUUGAAAAAGGCUGACAUCCCUGGCUGGCAGGUAGUCCUUAAUGGACUGAUUUGGCUGUUACCUCUGCAGCAAUUUCGCAGGGUGUACUCGUGAGCUGGACGAGCUUAUGGCUCCUGGCUAUGUUCUGAAUUUAUAACUGAUUUUGGUGUUUUGUGCUGCCAUGUAACCUGGCUCAUUCAUGAGUUUUGUCUCCUUUUGGCAGGUAUUCAUAGAGAUGGGAGGGUUUGUGGGCGAUCUUCCCAGCCAUAGCAGCUUUGAGGGGAAUACCACUGCCGGUUGCUGCCUUGCAGGGAUUCUGUAGCUGCUGGUUGGGUUGUACCGGCCGGACCUCCCUUUUCUAGCCCAUCUUUCUCUCAUUAUCCGAAAGGUGUUGGCAGCCUUGCGUGGCUAGCCGCAGAGAGGGUGCUCCUUUCAUGUCUCGCUCAUUCGGGCAUUACUGAAAUCUGGGCCGAGGCGGCCUAUUGAUGAAAUCGACAUAGUUGCUAGGGCUUCAACCAUGUAAUAGUAUAGUUCGACUUACUUCCCAACAUGUACGACAAGUUCGAUGUUAGUUGGCAUUUUUAUUUCUUUCUUGCAUCUUGUAAUUAAUUAGCUUUGAAAUUUUGGAAUUUGUAUUUAUACUCUUAUUCAAGAAAUAAAAUACUCCUUCAUUCUUUA